UACGUAGGGUGCAAGCGUUGUCCGGAAUUAUUGGGCGUAAAGAGCUCGUAGGCGGUUUGUCGCGUCGAAUGUGAAAACCCGGGGCUCAACCCCGGGCCUGCAGCCGAUACGGGCAAACUAGAAUUCGGUAGGGGAGACUGGAAUUCCUGGUGUAGCGGUGAAAUGCGCAGAUAUCAGGAGGAACACCGGUGGCGAAGGCGGGUCUCUGGGCCGAUAUUGACGCUGAGGAGCGAAAGCGUGGGGAGCGAACAGG
rnacentral:rRNA from 1 species